rnacentral:lncRNA from 1 species
UACAUUUGGAGUGCUUAGAAUGGAAUGGGGCCUGGCACAUAAAUGUGUGAAAUGGCUCUGCGCCACAUGGAGAAAGAGCAAAAUGUCACUUUCGAGGUUUGUGACAAAAUUUCGUGAUAGAUUCUUCGGGUGGAGUGAGAGGCCUUUCUCACUGCUGUGACACUGCUGCUGAGGUGGAAAAGCUGAAGAACAGAUUAUUCAGUUUCUACACGGAGCCCUGCUCGACAUGAUGCUAAAACAUGGUGUUUUUUGGACCCAGGUUUUCACUGAUAACAAAGAGGAAGGUCAGUAGCAGAUUAAGACCAGGAAGCUGGUUUACAGCCAUCAUAAUCUGCAAAGAGGUCUCUGCCAGGGCAGCAAGCAUCCAUUUCUUUCUUCCAGUACAUCAGACAGUGGGCAGGAAAAGAUGAGCUUUCAAAGGGUCAGUUUUCUUCUACCAUUACAAAGUUUAGUGCCUUAAAAAAAAAAAUCAACAGAACUGGGAAAUCUCACUUUGGGAGACAGCCUGGCCCUUCUUCAUAACCCGUUCCUCCAAGCAAACUUGAUUUGCUUAUUAAAAUAGGCAUGAAGAAGCUCUUCCGUGAAGCUUCCUUUUCCACCUGAUGUGUAUGAAAGGUUUCAAGAACUUGGCUGCACUCCCCCAGCAGGGUCAACUCUUAAGACUGCUUCUGAAUCCUUCGGUUGUGAUGAAUGUGGGACACCUUUCGAGAUGGGGGAGUUCAGAUCUUGCACAGAAAGCUUCUUUGUUCCUCCAAGGACUUUGAAGACAUCGCCCACCCCUACAGUGGUUUGGAAUGUGGAGAGAGGAUUUUGGUUCUCACCAUUGACCAGGAGUUGUUCUUGGCUUUUGGUGGUAAUGUGCAGGAUGUUCUCACACCACAAGUAAUUGUCCGGCCUCAAAUCCCAACGGUCCCUUCACGUAGGAAACGUUCCCCACUCCUCUCCCAGGUCCUGCCUCUGGUUUAGGUUGUAGACUCUGGGAGAGAACGGGUGUGGUGGGCUCUCUUCACUGCCCUGACGGAAGGGCACCUAGAAGAGCGCCUUCCAUGCAGUGAGUGCUCAGUAAACAUUUGUUGAGGAAAUGCCACUUAUAAAGACAGUGAUUGAUUGGUGGACAAUAAGAUACAUAAAAUAAAAACCUACUGACCCAAGUUCAAUUUCCCUGGGCCUUC